GAACCGCAUGGUUCUUGGCUGAAAGAUGGCGUAAGCUAUCGCUUUUGGAUGGACCCGCGGCGUAUUAGCUAGUUGGUGAGGUAACGGCUCACCAAGGCAAUGAUACGUAGCCGAACUGAGAGGUUGAUCGGCCACAUUGGGACUGAGACACGGCCCAAACUCCUACGGGAGGCAGCAGUAGGGAAUCUUCCACAAUGGACGCAAGUCUGAUGGAGCAACGCCGCGUGAGUGAAGAAGGCUUUCGGGUCGUAAAACUCUGUUGUUGGAGAAGAAUGGUCGGCAGAGUAACUGUUGUCGGCGUGACGGUAUCCAACCAGAAAGCCACGGCUAACUACGUGCCAGCAGCCGCGGUAAUACGUAGGUGGCAAGCGUUAUCCGGAUUUAUUGGGCGUAAAGCGAGCGCAGGCGGUUUUUUAAGUCUGAUGUGAAAGCCCUCGGCUUAACCGAGGAAGUGCAUCGGAAACUGGGAAACUUGAGUGCAGAAG
rnacentral:rRNA from 2 species